rnacentral:rRNA from 1 species
UUAAGCGACUAAGCGUACACGGUGGAUGCCCUGGCAGUCAGAGGCGAUGAAGGACGUGCUAAUCUGCGAAAAGCGUCGGUAAGGUGAUAUGAACCGUUAUAACCGGCGAUGUCCGAAUGGGGAAACCCAGUGCAAUUCGUUGCACUAUCGUUAACUGAAUACAUAGGUUAACGAGGCGAACCGGGGGAACUGAAACAUCUAAGUACCCCGAGGAAAAGAAAUCAACCGAGAUUCCCCCAGUAGCGGCGAGCGAACGGGGAGCAGCCCAGAGUCUGAAUCAGCUUGUGUGUUAGUGGAACGGUCUGGAAAGUCCGACGGUACAGGGUGAUAGUCCCGUACACCAAAAUGCACAGGCUGUGAACUCGAAGAGUAGGGCGGGACACGUGGUAUCCUGUCUGAAUAUGGGGGACCAUCCUCCAAGGCUAAAUACUCCUGACUGACCGAUAGUGAACCAGUACCGUGAGGGAAAGGCGAAAAGAACCCCGGCGAGGGGAGUGAAAAAGAACCUGAAACCGUGUACGUACAAGCAGUGGGAGCACCUUCGGGUGUGACUGCGUACCUUUUGUAUAAUGGGUCAGCGACUUAUAUUCUGUAGCAAGGUUAACCGUAUAGGGGAGCCGCAGGGAAACCGAGUCUUAACUGGGCGUUAAGUUGCAGGGUAUAGACCCGAAACCCGGUGAUCUAGCCAUGGGCAGGUUGAAGGUUGGGUAACACUAACUGGAGGACCGAACCGACUAAUGUUGAAAAAUUAGCGGAUGACUUGUGGCUGGGGGUGAAAGGCCAAUCAAACCGGGAGAUAGCUGGUUCUCCCCGAAAGCUAUUUAGGUAGCGCCUCGUGAAUUCAUCUUCGGGGGUAGAGCACUGUUUCGGCUAGGGGGUCAUCCCGACUUACCAACCCGAUGCAAACUACGAAUACCGAAGAAUGUUAUCACGGGAGACACACGGCGGGUGCUAACGUCCGUCGUGAAGAGGGAAACAACCCAGACCGCCAGCUAAGGUCCCAAAGUCAUGGUUAAGUGGGAAACGAUGUGGGAAGGCACAGACAGCCAGGAUGUUGGCUUAGAAGCAGCCAUCAUUUAAAGAAAGCGUAAUAGCUCACUGGUCGAGUCGGCCUGCGCGGAAGAUGUAACGGGGCUAAACCAUGCACCGAAGCUGCGGCAGCGACACUAUGUGUUGUUGGGUAGGGGAGCGUUCUGUAAGCCUGCGAAGGUGUGCUGUGAGGCAUGCUGGAGGUAUCAGAAGUGCGAAUGCUGACAUAAGUAACGAUAAAGCGGGUGAAAAGCCCGCUCGCCGGAAGACCAAGGGUUCCUGUCCAACGUUAAUCGGGGCAGGGUGAGUCGACCCCUAAGGCGAGGCCGAAAGGCGUAGUCGAUGGGAAACAGGUUAAUAUUCCUGUACUUGGUGUUACUGCGAAGGGGGGACGGAGAAGGCUAUGUUAGCCGGGCGACGGUUGUCCCGGUUUAAGCAUGUAGGCUGGUUGUCCAGGCAAAUCCGGAUAAUCAAGGCUGAGGUGUGAUGACGAGGCACUACGGUGCUGAAGUAACAAAUGCCCUGCUUCCAGGAAAAGCCUCUAAGCAUCAGGUAACAUCAAAUCGUACCCCAAACCGACACAGGUGGUCAGGUAGAGAAUACCAAGGCGCUUGAGAGAACUCGGGUGAAGGAACUAGGCAAAAUGGUGCCGUAACUUCGGGAGAAGGCACGCUGGUGUGUAGGUGAAGCCCCUGCGGGUGGAGCUGAGACCAGUCGAAGAUACCAGCUGGCUGCAACUGUUUAUUAAAAACACAGCACUGUGCAAACACGAAAGUGGACGUAUACGGUGUGACGCCUGCCCGGUGCCGGAAGGUUAAUUGAUGGGGUUAUCCGUAAGGAGAAGCUCUUGAUCGAAGCCCCGGUAAACGGCGGCCGUAACUAUAACGGUCCUAAGGUAGCGAAAUUCCUUGUCGGGUAAGUUCCGACCUGCACGAAUGGCGUAAUGAUGGCCAGGCUGUCUCCACCCGAGACUCAGUGAAAUUGAACUCGCUGUGAAGAUGCAGUGUACCCGCGGCAAGACGGAAAGACCCCGUGAACCUUUACUAUAGCUUGACACUGAACAUUGAGCCUUGAUGUGUAGGAUAGGUGGGAGGCUUUGAAGCGUGGACGCCAGUCUGCGUGGAGCCAACCUUGAAAUACCACCCUUUAAUGUUUGAUGUUCUAACGUUGGCCCCUUACCGGGGUUGCGGACAGUGUCUGGUGGGUAGUUUGACUGGGGCGGUCUCCUCCCAAAGCGUAACGGAGGAGCACGAAGGUUAGCUAAUCCUGGUCGGACAUCAGGAGGUUAGUGCAAUGGCAUAAGCUAGCUUGACUGCGAGCGUGACGGCGCGAGCAGGUGCGAAAGCAGGUCAUAGUGAUCCGGUGGUUCUGAAUGGAAGGGCCAUCGCUCAACGGAUAAAAGGUACUCCGGGGAUAACAGGCUGAUACCGCCCAAGAGUUCAUAUCGACGGCGGUGUUUGGCACCUCGAUGUCGGCUCAUCACAUCCUGGGGCUGAAGUAGGUCCCAAGGGUAUGGCUGUUCGCCAUUUAAAGUGGUACGCGAGCUGGGUUUAGAACGUCGUGAGACAGUUCGGUCCCUAUCUGCCGUGGGCGCUGGAGAAUUGAGGGGGGCUGCUCCUAGUACGAGAGGACCGGAGUGGACGCAUCACUGGUGUUCGGGUUGUCAUGCCAAUGGCACUGCCCGGUAGCUAAAUGCGGAAGAGAUAAGUGCUGAAAGCAUCUAAGCACGAAACUUGCCCCGAGAUGAGUUCUCCCUGAGACUUUAAGUCUCCUGAAGGAACGUUGAAGACGACGACGUUGAUAGGCCGGGUGUGUAAGCGCAGCGAUGCGUUGAGCUAACCGGUACUAAUGAACCGUGAGGCUUAACCUU